rnacentral:rRNA from 1 species
GUAGGUGACCUGCGGAGGGAUCAUUUACACAAAUAUGAAGGCGGGCUGGAACCUCUCGGGGUUACAGCCUUGCUGAAUUAUUCACCCUUGUCUUUUGCGUACUUCUUGUUUCCUUGGUGGGUUCGCCCACCACUAGGACAAACAUAAACCUUUUGUAAUUGCAAUCAGCGUCAGUAACAAAUUAAUAAUUACAACUUUCAACAACGGAUCUCUUGGUUCUGGCAUCGAUGAAGAACGCAGCGAAAUGCGAUAAGUAGUGUGAAUUGCAGAAUUCAGUGAAUCAUCGAAUCUUUGAACGCACAUUGCGCCCUUUGGUAUUCCAAAGGGCAUGCCUGUUCGAGCGUCAUUUGUACCCUCAAGCUUUGCUUGGUGUUGGGCGUCUUGUCUCUAGCUUUGCUGGAGACUCGCCUUAAAGUAAUUGGCAGCCGGCCUACUGGUUUCGGAGCGCAGCACAAGUCGCACUCUCUAUCAGCAAAGGUCUAGCAUCCAUUAAGCCUUUUUUUCAACUUUUGACCUCGGAUCAGGUAGGGAUACCCGCUGAACUUAAGCAUAUCAUA